rnacentral:rRNA from 1 species
UACGUAGGGUGCGAGCGUUGUCCGGAAUUACUGGGCGUAAAGAGCUCGUAGGCGGCUCGUUGCGUCGGCUGUGAAAACCCGCAGCUCAACUGUGGGCUUGCAGCCGAUACGGGCGGGCUGGAGUUCGGUAGGGGAGACUGGAAUUCCUGGUGUAGCGGUGAAAUGCGUAGAGAUCAUGAGGAAGACCAGUGGCGAAGGCGGGUCUCUGGACAGUUCCUGACACUGAGGCACGAAGGCCAGGGGAGCAAACGGG